GCCAGUGUGGCAUAGUGGUUUAAAUGUUGGACUACAACUCUGAAGUACUGGGUUCAAAUCCCCACUCAGCUA